GGGGCGUGGGGGGGUGCAAUGGUCGCUGGUUUUUCUAGGCAUGCUCGCUCUUGAGGAGUUAAGAUUCUUUUCAAGCAAAUUCAGGGGUUAAGGGUUUCUCUGAAGGUUGAUGUUUCUGGAUGAGCUAGGAAGACUGACAAGGCCUGGGAUUUGGUUUUAGUAACGGUGUUUGAACCUACUGCUUCUAUGUGAGGAUCUUUGCCAGGGUAAUGCAGGAGCUACAGGAGAAUAAGAUUAGCCAGAAUAGAGACCGAGCAGUUUUUCCAACUUGGACCUGACAAGGGUGGAAACCAUAUUUGACAUUCAGAUAUGUAUGCUGCCAGUCCAAAGUGGGAUAUUAUCUUGACGACAGAGACAGAGCACCCUCUAUAGUAAGUUAAAGGUAAUUUACCGUGAGAUGAGAAGAUCUCUUCACAGGACCAGCUAAUACACAAUGUGACCUUCAUGUAUGUGCAUGACUACUCGAAGGGGGAGGCUGGAGCUGCUUAAACACCUAAGUGAGGAUUUGUCACUUUCUUUGGUUUAAUCAACUUAAGUUAGUAUUACCAAUUAUUAUGAUAUGCAAAACCUUAGGAUCUGUAUAUUCUAUUUCUCCAUGAGUUCAUGAAGACUGCAACCCAUCUUAUU